rnacentral:rRNA from 1 species
GAUGAACGCUGGCGGCGUGCCUAAUACAUGCAAGUCGAGCGAACGGACGAGAAGCUUGCUUCUCUGAUGUUAGCGGCGGACGGGUGAGUAACACGUGGAUAACCUACCUAUAAGACUGGGAUAACUUCGGGAAACCGGAGCUAAUACCGGAUAAUAUUAUGAACCGCAUGGUUCAAAAGUGAAAGACGGUCUUGCUGUCACUUAUAGAUGGAUCCGCGCUGCAUUAGCUAGUUGGUAAGGUAACGGCUUACCAAGGCAACGAUGCAUAGCCGACCUGAGAGGGUGAUCGGCCACACUGGAACUGAGACACGGUCCAGACUCCGACGGGAGGCAGCAGUAGGGAAUCUUCCGCAAUGGGCGAAAGCCUGACGGAGCAACGCCGCGUGAGUGAUGAAGGUCUUCGGAUCGUAAAACUCUGUUAUUAGGGAAGAACAAAUGUGUAAGUAACUGUGAACAUCUUGACGGUACCUAAUCAGAAAGCCACGGCUAACUACGUG